rnacentral:rRNA from 1 species
AGGAACCUGCCUUCCAGAGGGGGACAACAGUUGGAAACGACUGCUAAUACCGCAUGACGCAUUGGUGUCGCAUGGCACUGAUGUCAAAGAUUUAUCGCUGGAAGAUGGCCUCGCGUCUGAUUAGCUAGUUGGUGAGGUAACGGCCCACCAAGGCGACGAUCAGUAGCCGGACUGAGAGGUUGGCCGGCCACAUUGGGACUGAGAUACGGCCCAGACUCCUACGGGAGGCAGCAG